rnacentral:rRNA from 1 species
AUUGAACGCUGGCGGCAGGCCUAACACAUGCAAGUCGAGCGGAUGAAAGGGGCUUGCUCCUGGAUUCAGCGGCGGACGGGUGAGUAAUGCGCAGGAAUCUACCUAGUAGUGGGGGAUAACGUUUCGAAAGGAACGCUAAUACCGCAUACGUUCUGAGGAAGAAAGCAGGGGAUCGUAAGACCUUGCGCUAUUAGAUGAGCUUGCGUCCGAUUAGCUAGUUGGUGGGGUAAAGGCCUACCAAGGCGGCGAUCGGUAACUGGUCUGAGAGGAUGAUCAGUCACACUGGAACUGAGACACGGUCCAGACUCCUACGGGAGGCAGCAGUGGGGAAUAUUGGACAAUGGGGGCAACCCUGAUCCAGCCAUGCCGCGUGUGUGAAGAAGGCCUCGGUUGUAAGU